CCUGUGACACUGUGUUUAACGGCCACGGUAUUAUAACCGUGCAAAGGUAGCGUAAUCACUUGUCUUUUAAAUGAAGACCUGUAUGAAUGGCAUCACGAGGGUUUAACUGUCUCCUUCCCCCAGCCAAUGAAAUUGAUCUAUCCGUGCAGAAGCGGGUAUAAAAACAUAAGACGAGAAGACCCUAUGGAGCUUCAGGCUAAAAGCUCAAGCACGUAAAGAAAUUUUAAAUCAACAAAAGAAUUAAACCAAAUUAAAACUUAGUGUAAUAAUGGCCACACGCCUUCGGUUGGGGCGACCACGGAGAAAAACAAAACCCCCGAAUGGAAUAAAGAAAUCUUUUAAACCAAGAGACAUACCUCUAAGCAACAGAAAAUCUGACCAAAUAUGACCCAGGAUAAAUUAAACCUGAUCAAUAAACCAAGUUACCCUAGGGAUAACAGCGCAAUCCUCUCCCAGAGACCCUAUCGACGAGGGGGUUUACGACCUCGAUGUUGGAUCAGGACAUCCUAAUGGUGUAGCCGCUAUUAA
rnacentral:rRNA from 1 species